UCCGGCAGGCCUGGGGAGGGGAUCCGAAGGAGAGGAAACAGCUGCAAAUCACGAUGCCUGAGCAGAUUCUCCACCCCCAAAGGAGCCAGGCUGCUUGCAGGGUUCUGCCAACCCAGGAGACGGAGGCGGGAGUGAAGGGCUGACGAUUCACACCCUUGCUGUAAAUAAACCUUGCAGCCCCCAAAA